AUACGAAGGGCCCGAGCGUUGUGCGGAUUCACUGGGCUUAAAGGGUGCGUAGGCGGAGGUGUAAGUGUCUUGUGAAAGCCCACGGCUCAACCGUGGAACUGCAGGGCAUACUGCAUCUCUAGAGGUCGGUAGGGGCUGUCGGAACUGUAGGUGUAGCGGUGAAAUGCGUAGAUAUCUACAGGAACGCCAAUGGCGAAGGCAGACAGCUGGGCCGAUUCUGACGCUGAGGCACGAAAGCGUGGGGAGCAAACAGGAUUAGAAACCCCGGUAGUCC
rnacentral:rRNA from 1 species